rnacentral:misc_RNA from 1 species
UCUGGCUUAUAGCCCAGCGGUCUUACUAGAGUACCCAACUAAAUGAUGGCAACUAAUAACGAGGGUUGCGCUCGUUGCGGGACUUAACCCAACAUCUCACAACACGAGCUGACGACAGCCAUGCAGCACCUGUCACCGCGUCCCCGAAGGGAACUCCUGCUUUCACAGGAUGGCGCGGGAUGUCAAGCCUAGGUAAGGUUUUUCGCGUAGCAUCGAAUUAAACCACAUGCUCCACCGCUUGUGCGGGCCCCCGUCAAUUCCUUUGAGUUUUAAUCUUGCGACCGUAAUCCCCAGGCGGAAUACUUAAUGCGUUAGCUUCGUCACCGAGACAAUUAGGUAUCCCGACAACUAGUAUUCAUCGUUUAGGGCGUGGACUAC